rnacentral:tRNA from 3 species
GGUGUAGCUCAGUUGGUUAGAGCAUCGGAUUGUGGUUCCGAGGGUCGAGGGUUCGAGUCCCUUUACC